AUACUUCAUCUCCAUGAAGGACAGACAGACAACAGAUAAUGUGGAGGAGAAGAAGAUCGAGCUGCUGUGUCAGGUGUUCAACAUGAGAAAUAACAACUAGUAGAUGAAGCAGAAAAGGAUUUCAGACAUGACCAUUCUGCUAUCGGACUGGAUCAGCAUAUUGAAGAACAAUGAUGACUAACUACCUGGCCUCAAAAGCAUCAGAAAGCAUAAGAAGUGUGCGUUGGUCAUGUCCUCAAACAUAUUAACCAGACAUAUCAUGCAGAUCGUAUCAUAGAACAAGGAACACCAGUGCAAUACAGUGCAGAGUACAUUCACAAAUUGCACAUUGACCUAAACAAGAAACUGGUGAUGUUUGGGGUGACCAAUGUCCUUUCUGUUGAUGGUUUCUCCAGCAAAAACAACCUGACCAUAUAUCAAGAGGUUUACAGGCAAGGGUAUCACCAGUCAACUGGCUCUGGGUGGAUGCUCAAAGAAACUGCCUGCAGAUCCUCUGCCAGAGCCUGCAGAGGCUGCAGACUGCUAUGACCGGGAGGUGGGGUCCUCUUUGACACGAGUGUCACUGUUUGGCAGAAACCCAUUUUCCACAAUGUAGCACCAAGCAGAAACUGAACAAGAAUUUACACAGCACUAUUUGGACAUUUCUGACCUCUUUGGCAGUGCUGUGAACCAGGGCGUUUUCAAAAUGGAAUUAAAGACCUAAAAGAAAUUGUAAGAAGACAUUUGUAAAGACAAGUGCCUCAAGUGCAGGGACGAACAGCCUGUGUACACAGAGGUGGCUAGACUGUCUGCAGCACUGGCCUCUUUGCCCUGCCGUAAAGAGGACAGCAGUUCAGUUUAGUGUGUUCUAUGUGUUCAAGUUCUAUGUUCAGUGUUCUGUGUUGAACUAGAACUCCUCACCAAAAAAAAUAUCCCACAUUUGUCAGGCACCAGAUGAGCACGCAUCACGCAUUUGGAUUUUUACAUGGGCUCACACUUUGGUCUGUUUGGUCUGGUCUCAAGCGGUAAUUUUCAACAGAUUUCCCAUUUACAUGUCUUUUUUUAAACUUGUUUGAUGCUCAGUGUUCUGUGUUUGAUGUUCACUUUUGAAUAAAUUAAAAACACUGUUUGAA